UACAAAGGUCUCAAGCGUUGUUCGGAUUCAUUGGGCGUAAAGGGCGCGUAGGCUGCGGGGCAAGUCGGGUGUGAAAUCUCAGAGCUCAACUCUGAAACUGCACUCGAUACUGCUUUGCUUGAGGACUGGAGAGGAGAUUGGAAUUCACGGUGUAGCAGUGAAAUGCGUAGAUAUCGUGAGGAAGACCAGUGGCGAAGGCGGAUCUCUGGACAGUUCCUGACGCUGAGGCGCGAAGGCCAGGGGAGCAAACGGG
rnacentral:rRNA from 1 species